rnacentral:rRNA from 1 species
AUUGAACGCUGGCGGCAGGCCUAACACAUGCAAGUCGAGCGAGCGGCGGACGGGUGAGUAAUGUCUGGGAAACUGCCUGAUGGAGGGGGAUAACUACUGGAACCGGUAGCUACUCCCGCAUACCCUCCGAUGUGCCCCGAUGGGAUUAGCUAGUAGGUGGGGUAACGGCUCACCUAGGCGACGAUCCCUAGCUGGUGUGAGAGGAUGACCGUCCACACGGGAACGUGGACACGGUCCAUACUCAUACGGGAGGCAGCAGUGGGGAAUAUUGCACAAUGGGCGCAAGCCUGAUGCAGCCAUGCCGCGUGUAUGAAGAAGGCCUUCGGGUUGUAAAGUACUUUCAGCGGGGAGGCGUUACCCGCAGAAGAAGCACCGGCUAACUCCGUGCCAGCAGCCGCGGUAAUUC